CCUGAUUACCCAUAGGAGGUCCAGCCUGCCCAGUGACUAAGUUAAACGGCCGCGGUACCCUAACCGUGCAAAGGUAGCGCAAUCACUUGUUCUUUAAAUGAGGACUAGUAUGAACGGCAUCACGAGGGUUAUGCUGUCUCCCUACUCUAUUCAGUGAAACUGAUCUCCCCGUGAAGAAGCGGGGAUAAAGAUAUAAGACGAGAAGACCCCAUGGAGCUUUAAACUCAGUACCAACUGCCCUCACAAUAACCUAUUACCCUUGCAGCCAUGGUUACUAGUUUUCGGUUGGGGUGACCACGGAGUAAAAUUUAACCUCCACGAUGAAAGGAACUAAUAUCCUAACCUAUGAGCUACAGCUCUAAGUAUCAACAAAUUGACCAAUUGACCCAAUUACUUGAUCAACGGACCA
rnacentral:rRNA from 1 species